GGUGUGGGGCUCGAACUCACAACCACCAGAACACUAGCCCGGCACUCUAACCAACUAAGCUGACCGGGCAGCUGGUUCUAACCCACACACACUACCCUCCCCCCAUUUACCGGUUAAGGCUGGUGGAGGGUCUCCUGCUAUUUACCGUUGACACUAUUAAAGUAUUCUGAUUGAUGGAGAUAAGGAAGUCCCCUUAUUAUUGUCUUCAACAAGCCUACCGCCACAGGGGACCUAGCAUAAGACCGGAAACCGCCCCCCCCCCCAACACACACACACACGAUAUUUGCCAGUCCAGGCAAUGUCAACCGCAAGAGAAAACCAGUGAUGACAAGUUUUACAAAUAAUCGGAAAGUGUGGUCUUUUGAAGAGAGUUCUUGAAGUUGUUCAGCAUGUUGUUUUGAUGGAUUCUUGGAAGGAUGUACCUCUAUGAUGUUAGCUUCAGUUCUGGAAUAUAACACCAGUUGUUGCAUAUUCAAUAUCAGAUUUAUUAAAUACAUUGUUGUUUUGCAAACAUUACUUAAACUUUGAUAUUUCUUUGGUGUUUAUGUAUGAUAUUGUAGGUGAAUAUCUCUUUAUUGCAAUGGCAAAUAUAUUUUAAAAUAUAUAGCAUUAGCAGAAGUUAUUUUUCACUGUUAAAGCUGCACUUUCACAGAUUGAUCACUUUGACAACUUACACAGGAUUCGAUUGCAUUUAUCAUAUUUUGGCUCGGAGAAGUUUGCUUUGUGAUUUAUAUAUUAGGUCUUAAUUCAAAGAAUGCCAAAAUAAGCCGAUUCUGAGACAAAAAGAGUCAAACUAGAAUUCUGUGAGAGUGCAACUUUAAGAAUACUGUUAAUCGAGUGUGCAUGUGAUCCGGACUCUGAACAUUGGAUGAACUAUCAUUAAAUAUUGUAGAUUUACGUAAAUGGCCCAAAAUAUAAGAAUAACAAUGAAAAUAUGUA